UACGAAGGGGGCUAGCGUUGCUCGGAAUCACUGGGCGUAAAGGGUGCGUAGGCGGGUCUUUUAAGUCAGGGGUGAAAUCCUGGAGCUCAACUCCAGAACUGCCUUUGAUACUGAAGAUCUUGAGUUCGGGAGAGGUGAGUGGAACUGCGAGUGUAGAGGUGAAAUUCGUAGAUAUUCGCAAGAACACCAGUGGCGAAGGCGGCUCACUGGCCCGAUACUGACGCUGAGGUGCGAAAGCGUGGGGAGCAAACAGG
rnacentral:rRNA from 1 species